rnacentral:rRNA from 1 species
CCUACGGGUGGCAGCAGUGGGGGAUAUUGCACAAUGGGGGAAACCCUGAUGCAGCGACGCCGCGUGGGUGAAGAAGCGCCUCGGCGCGUAAAGCCCUGUCAGCAGGGAAGAAAAUGACGGUACCUGAAGCAGAAGCCCCGGGUAACUACGUGCCAGCAGCCGCGGUAAUACGUAGGGGGCAAGCGUUAGCCGGAUUUACGGGGUGGAAAGGGGGGGCAGACGGCGAUGCAAGCCAGGCGUGAAAGCCCGGGGCCCAACCCCGGGACUGCGCUUGGAACUGCGUUGCUAGAGUGCAGGAGAGGCAGGCGGAAUGCCUGGUGUAGCGGUGAAAUGCGUAGAUAUCAGGAGGAACACCGGUGGCGAAGGCGGCCUGCUGGACUGCAACUGACGUUGAGGCCCGAAAGCGUGGGGAGCAAACAGGAUUAGAUACCCCAGUAGUC